GAUGAACGCUAGCGGGAGGCCUAACACAUGCAAGCCGAGCGGUAUUGUUUCUUCGGAAAUGAGAGAGCGGCGUACGGGUGCGUAACACGUGUGCAACCUGCCUUUAUCUGGGGGAUAGCCUUUCGAAAGGAAGAUUAAUACUCCAUAAUAUAUUGAACGGCAUCGUUUAAUAUUGAAAGCUCCGGCGGAUAGAGAUGGGCACGCGCAAGAUUAGCUAGUUGGUGAGGUAACGGCUCACCAAGGCGAUGAUCUUUAGGGGGCCUGAGAGGGUGAUCCCCCUCACUGGUACCGAGACACGGACCAGACUCCUACGGGAGGCAGCAGUGAGGAAUAUUGGUCAAUGGGUGCAAGCCUGAACCAGCCAUCCCGCGUGAAGGACGACUGCCCUAUGGGUUGUAAACUUCUUUUGUAUAGGGAUAAACCUACCCUCGUGAGGGUAGCUGAAGGUACUAUACGAAUAAGCACCGGCUAACUCCGUGCCAGCAGCCGCCGUAA
rnacentral:rRNA from 1 species